UGUUGUUAAGCAUCUACUCAGUGUGAAAUAAUGGUUCUCUAAACAUAUACUUACUGUGAUAUGGUGAUGUAAUGGCACAUGUUCAUUGUGCUGUAGUGAUGUAAUACUGAGGCAUUUAAGAGAGUCUCAGACACAGAAGACUCUCUCUCAGCCAUGGACACAGAAGAGUCUCAGACACAGAGAAGAUUCGGGACUCCAUCUAUGACCAGCUUUGUGGUGGCUCUCCUGCUUUCAUCACUCCUCCACUAAGACCAAGGACUCAGUUACCCUACAAAUGGAGGAACCUCUCCCCUCUAUCUAACCAAACAGAAGUCCAGUUCUCAGUUCCAUCACUUCCAGGUCUGGCUAAUUUGGCAAAAUCUCCAUGGAAGAGCAGAAAAGAACUGCAUGAAAACAGUGCAACAUUUAAUACUAAAUAGAAUUCUGACAACUGUUCAACGGAACCACAGAAAAGUGAGCAUGAAAAUCACGCACAAGUUUAGAAGCAUGAA